rnacentral:rRNA from 1 species
GGUCAAGUUAUUAAGGGUGCAGGGCGGAUGCCUUGGCACUAGGAGCCGAUGAAGGACGUGAUAAGCUGCGAUAAGCUUCGGGGAGUUGCACGUAAACUUUGAUCCGAAGAUUUCCGAAUGAGGAAACUCACUUAGAGUAAUGUCUAAGUAUCAUUAAGUGAAUACAUAGCUUAAUGAGGGGAACUCAGGGAACUGAAACAUCUAAGUACCUGAAGGAAGAGAAAGAAAUUCGAUUCCGUAAGUAGCGGCGAGCGAACGCGGAUUAGCCCAAACCAAUAAAGUUUUCUUUAUUGGGGUUGCGGACAUAUCAUAACGAAGAGGUAUCGUAAUUGAAGAGGUUUGGAAAGACCCACCACAGAAGGUAAUAGUCCUGUAUGUUAAACGAGAAGACUUCAGAUAUGAUCCAGAGUACCACGGGACACGUGAAACCCUGUGGGAAGCAGGAGGGACCACCCUCCAAGGCUAAAUACUACCUAGUGACCGAUAGCGUAUAGUACCGUGAG